AAAUACGCAAGGACAUGUGCGUGCUGCAAGCGGCGCAGACCGACCGUCAUUUUCAGGUUGCCAGCAAGUUGUUUCAAGAAAAUAUCGAUGCUUUGUCCAAUUCACGAACUUCUUCGAAAAAUAUGUCCAAACCCAAACUAUGCCAAAUGGUAUGAGUCGGCGGCACCUGGUAUGCCUGCAACGAACAAUGCGUUAGAAGCUCUAAAUAAAUCAAUUAAAUAUAAUUUUUAAAACGCCACAAAGAGCCAUUCAAAUUUUAAAGAACGCAUAAUGGAUAUAAUCGAAGCUUAUGGCGAUCCUGAUCGAAUAAUUGCACGAGAAAGGAGUUUUAAACUGAGUGAUCAACGGAAGGCAUUUGAUUGGCUCCAACAGGGGAAAAAAAUUCGAACUACACAUAAUCUGGAUCAAAGGAGGUCGUACGUCUUUGUACCAGGAAACGGAAAACAUGAUGUGACUUCACAAGAUAUCGAUGGGUUCAACAACCCAAAAUUCGAGCAUUUUGACCAAUAUGCUUCGACAUUCAGGCAGUUGCAUAGCGUUGAAACCACCAACGAAGAUUACAAAAAUGGAAUUGUACUUGCUACUAUUUUUUAAAACUAAUGUCUGUUUGCAUAUUUUGGUAGUCGCUGUUAGAAAACUAAAAUUCGUCCUACCGGCAGAGGCAGACACGACACUCAUGAGUCGUAAAAAAGCGACAGGCAGACCAAUAAUAUCAACUUUAGCGUUAGUGAAAGAUUGAGCAGUCGGAUGUAUAUGUAGGGGGCAGCAGGGACUAUGUCCAAGGGCUUGACGACCCCUCCCCAGGUUACUGCGAGUUGUGGGGCUAGCCAAAAAUGUAGUGUGAUUUAACAGUGGGCUCUGAUCAACAUCUAUAAAAAGCUGCAUGUAACGGGCCCUACUAAAGCGACCUGUGGCUCUCAAAGCGCACUAGCCCAGUCCUGAUGUGGGUGGGACUUUAAACAGAUCUGUCACGACGAUCCUCCACCGAGCGUCUGUUCACCAAAGAGGUGCGGCUCUCAACAGCGUCUGUUCUCCAUGUCAGGGGCGGCUGAUCAUCGUCCGGUGCCAGCAAGGGACUCUAAACAAAACUGCGCAAUACAGUUCUCCGGAAAUUACAAGCCAGCUUUAAAAUGAAAACAUCGUCGUUGUUCAAUAUAAGGACUACAGCAAAAACAAUUAAUAAGUAAUAAUUUAUCAUAUCAGAUUCAACCAUUGUUAAGCCGCCGAAUUUACACGACCUGUUGCGGCUUGUCCUACGUUGAAUUGAUAAGAUACUAGUAAUUCUGGCUUCGCAAGGCUACCAAACAAUCGAUUCAAACUUGUCGAUCAAAUGUCGAUUUCGAACACCGAGACUAUAGGCUAUUCCAGGUGGUAUGUUGAAUAUUAGAAUGAUAAAAUAGUUAAUUCCCAGUGAAAUUGUUUCAUUGUUUGUAGCCUAAAUAGGCUAUCAGAUAUUCAAUUUAUUUGAAGGUUUUUAUCGUUGAGAAGAAAAAUACUAUAAAUAUACCGAAUAUCAGCAGGUUUUUUACGACUUUAUGGAUUUCUCGAUUUUUGCAAAUUUAUGGUAUUCUUAAUCUUUAUAUCGCACAAUGUGAGUUUUAUCAAACAAGUUACUCAAUACAAGAUAUCAGUAUUUUGAUAUCACUAUAUGAUCCAUACAUCAUGAUAAUAUCAAA